GUUGGGUGUGGUGGCACACACCUGUCAUCCCAGCCACUCAGGAGAUUGAGGAGGGAGGAUUGCAAGUUUGAAGCCAACCUCAGAAAAUUUGUGAGCGCCUGCCUCAA
rnacentral:sRNA from 1 species